AUUGAACGCUAGCGGGAUGCUUUACACAUGCAAGUCGAACGGAGUGGCGGACGGGUGAGUAAUAUAUCGGAACGUGCCCCGUAGCGGGGGAUAACUAAUCGAAAGAGUGGCUAAUACCGCCUACUAUUGGAGCGGCCGAUAUCGGAAUAGCUAGUUGGUGGGGAAAAGGCUCAUCAAGGCAACGAUCCGUAGCUGGUUUGAGAGGACGACCAGCCACACUGGGACUGAGACAAGGCCCAGACUCCUACGGGAGGCAGCAGGGGGGAAUAUUGCACAAUGGGCGCAAGCCUGAUGCAGCCAUGCCGCGUGUAUGAAGAAGGCCUUCGGGUUGUAAAGUACUUUCAGCGGGGAGGCGUUACCCGCAGAAGAAGCACCGGCUAACGCCGUGCCAGCAGCCGCGGUAAUUC
rnacentral:rRNA from 1 species